CCUUUGGAGAACCAUACGGACAAAAGUAGUAAUUGUAUAUUAUGAAAUUGGGUUCGUUGAAUAAGGAA
rnacentral:ncRNA from 12 species